rnacentral:lncRNA from 1 species
AGCGGCCCCCGAUCUUGCCCAUUUUUCGCCGUUCAAACUGCCGCGCGGCUACCCCCCCAUCCCGAUGCCCCCGGACCGCUGGUCCCGUGGGACCAAACGGAAGCGGAAUCGGAGGCCCGGAUCAUGAGUUACGGCCGAAACCGGCAAAGCCUACUAAGCGGCCCCCGAUCUUGCCCAUUUUUCGCCGUUCAAACUGCCGC